rnacentral:rRNA from 1 species
AUGAGCUCGCGUCUGAUUAGCUAGUAGGUGUGGUAAAGGCGCACCUAGGCGACGAUCAGUAGCUGGUCUGAGAGGAUGAUCAGCCACACUGGGACUGAGACACGGCCCAGACUCCUACGGGAGGCAGCAGUGGGGAAUUUUCCGCAAUGGGCGAAAGCCUGACGGAGCAAUACCGCGUGAGGGAGGAAGGCUCUUGGGUUGUAAACCUCUUUUCUCAGGGAAGAAAAAAAUGACGGUACCUGAGGAAUAAGCAUCGGCUAACUCCGUGCCAGCAGCCGCGGUAAUACGGAGGAUGCAAGCGUUAUCCGGAAUGAUUGGGCGUAAAGGGUCCGCAGGUGGCUAUGUAAGUCUGCUGUUAAAGAAUGAGGCUUAACCUCAUCAGAGCAGUGGAAACUACACAGCUAGAGUGCGUUCGGGGUAGAGGGAAUUCCUGGUGUAGCGGUGAAAUGCGUAGAUAUCAGGAAGAACACCAGUGGCGAAAGCGCUCUACUAGGCCGCAACUGACACUGAGGGACGAAAG